ensembl:lncRNA novel transcript
AGACAUCUGGGCUGCUAGCUGCAUGAAGGAGCUACCCGCUGUGGGUCUCCUCUUUGCUGACAGCUGGACACUUGACAGAAUGACCUGCCUGAACUCGGGACCUGCAGAAUGAUGGGACUGAAGAAGCUGUAACACAAACAGGGCUAAAACACGCACUCUCCUCCCCCUGCUCCCCACCGCCCCACCCACUUGCCACAUUGGAGGUGAUGAGAAGGAGAGAAGAGCUGUGGCCUUUCAGGGAGCAUAGUCCCAGGGGCUCCCUGAGCCAGGGCUGUGAAACCCUCUUCCGGGCACUGCAGUUCCUGGCAUCUCCAAACUUCUGAGUGCCACCGCAUUCCCCGCGUCCGGAUGCAGGUCAAUGCACAGAAAGAAAUCUCUCUCCUGACUUUAGUACAAUGGCACGAUUGGUGGCCACAGUCCAAGGAUGGUUGCUGGUGAGUAGUUACAGAUACCCCGAGACACAGCAGGAGUGAGUAAUUGGGUUUAUGAUGGGCAGCGACUCUGGUGUUCACUGCAAGCUAGCACUGGUGUUUUCUGGAUGACCUUUGUUAGCUGUGCGAAGAGGUUUCCU